UUUCCGUAGGUGAACCUGCGGAAGGAUCAUUAUUGUAUAACCGAGGUGCGAGGGCUGUCGCUGACCCGAAAGGUCGUGCACGCCCGAGGGCCCUCACACACAUCCAUCUCACCCCUAUGUGCACCACCGCGUGGGUCCCCCUUUGGCUUGUUCGGCGGGGGGCUUACGUUUUCACACAAACUUUGUAUGCAGUGUAGAAUGUAUUUUUUGUUUUUGCGAUCACGCAAUCAAUACAACUUUCAACAACGGAUCUCUUGGCUCUC
rnacentral:misc_RNA from 1 species